CCAGUAGUACUUUUUAACCUUGUGACUUGUGAGGUUACAGCACUACUGAGAGGGGCAAGGUACGACCGCCUAUCUAUCCCAUCCAUCUCCUCUGCUCCAAAAACCAAUCACCAAGAGGGCGCACACACACGCACAGGCAGGGAAGGAGGGAGGGAGAGAAAGAAAGAAAGAAAGGACAGUCUCAGCAGCACCUCCUCCUUUCGUUCCCUGUACGGCGACGAGCGCUCACCGGAUCCAAGAACAACGAAGCCCCCUCUAUCUCUCUCUUUCUUGUUCUUCUGUCUUCAUUCGUGCUUGGAGGGUUGGUUUGUCCCUCUUCGCUUUGGUGGUUCCGCAACUUCUGAACCCUGAUUUUGUGUUGUCGCUGGUUAGACGACGACGACGACGACGACGGCGGCGUUUCUGUAGAUGCGGAGAGGCUCUCGAGAGAUUGACAGAAGAGAGUGAGCACACGGCGCGACGAACGACAUAGCAUGUAUGCCGUCCUCGCCGCGUGCUCACUUCUCUUUCUGUCAGCCUCUUUCUCUCGAUGGCUUAUCUCCCGUCUAGAUCCGUUGUUAGUCUUAGUCUCUUAGUCUGGUGGGGGGCCGGGCAAAAUCCGUGUUUGAUUUCAAUUCAAUUAAAGGCUGCUUUGGUGUCCUAGUUGGUUUCGAUUCAAUUAGCCUGAUUUGAUGUCCAGGUUUGAUUUCGAUUCAACUGAACCGGUUUAAUUUGAUGGGGUUGUAGUACCUUUUUUUUUCUUAUCACAAGAGACAGAGCAUGCAUGCGGCAUGCCUCCAUGGCCGUGGCUUUUUUUCCUGCUUUACACACUGCCGCCUCCUUAUCUCCUAGAUCUUCACACCCAUGGUUUUUUUUCCCUAUUUUGUUCUGUGGUCUUUUCAGUCAUGCUGGCUGGGACUGCUACCGAUGCUGCUGCUGGUCAUGAGAAGCUAGCUAUUGGCCUUGUAGUACCGGAGUAAAUGAUUGGCGCUACUAGUUUUUUCCCCUAUCCCCAAAUUUUUCAUCUUGCAGUGGUACCCUUCGCCUUGGGAGCUGAAAGCAUGGGGAGAUGCUGCCGGCCGGCCGGCCAGUACACUGCAACACUGAGAGGUUCCCAAAGGAGUACAAACUACGUUGGCGCGCUCCUUCUCUCUCUCUACCUUCUCCCUCUCUCUCUCUGCUAGUUUCAAGGUUUCUUUGUUCUUUCUGUGUGCAGGUCAUGGACGAGGACGACUCAUGGUGGUGGGUGGGGUCGAUCAAGUUCUUGUUGUUGGGUCGAAAAUGGAGCACGGAGACGAGCCAUAUUUAGCAAGGAAGGUAGUGUCCUCACUUCGCCCCGGCCCCCUGCGUGCCAUGCCAGCUGAUAAGCUUGCAUCUAGGUUUAAGUCCAUACCCAAGAUUGGGCAAGGUGGCCUAUCAUGAAAAUGAUGAUGAUGGCCGCAAAGGUCAAUAAGUACUAUGAAAGGAGAAAAGCAUAAUACGAAGGCACGAUGCAAAGGCUAGUACAGACAAGCAAGAUGUGUAGAAUAAGCCGCAGCUGACCAGCGCAUGCAGUCAAGAGGUGGGCGGGCAUGCUUCCAUCAUCGCUGAAAUCACCCUGCAGACUUCGCAUUUUGCUAUGUAAAGAACAGACUACCCAGACAAGGAUGUGUAUAGUUGUAGUGCAAAAGCAACAGGAUGCACCAUAGACAGAGACAAGACAUUUUUGCUAUUUUGAGCACGUGUGCAGAUCCACCUCAAAGUUUCGAAACGAUUUCGGGUGGUGGCUGUGAUGUCGUUUGAGGCAGGCAGCUGCGUCGUUCAGGCACCUGGAACAACAAAAAAAGGCAACAUGUUAUUACCUUGGCGCCAGAUGUCUUCGGGAGGAACCCCUUGUCUUGAAGGGACUUCACUGCUUCGUACAGGUACCCAUGCACUGGCGUGAACUUGACGCCAAGGUCCUUCAGAGGUUGGUUCGUAAACUUGUAGCCCUUCUUCAGUGGGUUCACCUGAUCCUUGCACCUGCAAAAACAAAACAAAAAAAUAGCAUGCUAUCAGUGUAGUGCUGCAACAGCAAAGAGCAAAUGCAUUUGUCUCGAAGCAGUUUGGGACUCCAGACAGGCAGACACCAUGUAUAUAUGUUGUUGUUGCUAUAUCUUCAAAACAAGGUGAUGUUUUUUUUUUCUUUUUUGCCUUGAGGUACCCCUAGGGUCGUCCAUCCAUGUGCUGCCUUCAAAGGAAAGAAUAGGCAUUGCUUUGCUUUUAAGGAAUCGUCCAAGGCACCGGUCAGUCGGUCACACCUACCUCUUCAGUUUAUCAGCAUAACAUUUGCAAUUGCAAGCCAAGCGCAGUUACUAAAUUAAAAUUCAUUCGGUUUUUUCUGACCGGCUCGUCCUAUUCAUUUUUUUUGGAAAAAUUGAAAAAUUCAAUGCCACAUUUAAAGUAAAACAAUAUCACCGCGAAAAAUAACAAUAAUUAUAAAUUUUUUAAAUAAGAUAAGUCAGUCAAACUUAGAGUAAAAAAUCAAGCGAAUUAUAAAUUAGAACGGAGAGAGUAAGAAAAGACUGGGCCGCAUGAUCAUUCACAUGACUAAAAUGCACUCCGGGUUUCAGUUUUCUAUUACGUGGAGUAUCUUGGCUUAUCUAAGCAUGGAUACCCAUCAUCUGACUCGUAGCUAACAAAGUACUGUGCAGCAUCAUCAGAUGGACUUUUCUAUCCAUGGAGAGCUAUUCUUGACCUUGUCCAAAGGACAUUAACUAGUCGUUACUGAGCAGACCAACUAGGCUACUCGUCAUAAACCCUCCUGGCCAUGGAUUUCUUCAAAUAUCAUCGUGCACAAGUUGAAUUUUUGGAGCAGUCCACCACUAUUUCCUUUGAUAGCACAUUGUUCGAAACGACGAAACCAUUAUUAAAAUGCCCAUACCUUGUCGGAAUAGGGUACUCCGGGAAGAGUCCGGCGAGGAUGCGGCAGAGCUCGCCGCGGUGCAGGGUGCGCUCGGCGCAGACGUACCGGCGGCCGCCGGCUCCGGGCGCCUCCAGCACCCUGACGUGCGCCUCGGCGGCGUCCCUGACGUGCACGUAGGCGUGCGACUCGUUGACGUACUCCUUUGUCUGUCCCGUGAGGUACUUGAGGAUGUGCAGGGUGCUGGUGUUCAUACUGGGCUGCAGCAGCUCGCCGAGCACCACCACCGGGAUGACCACCGCCAGGUCCAGCCCCCGCGCCCGCGCCGCCUCCCACGCGCCCUGCUCCGCCACCGUCUUUGCGUAGCAGUACCAGUUCUGUGAGAAUUCAUUCAUUCCAACGGCGUCAGGACUCAGGACUGGCCGCGCGCCGGAGCGGGGGUUCUUUCUUUUGUACUAAUUGAUUCGCAGGCCGGGCGAGAGUUUUUUGUUUA